CGGCGGACGGGUGAGUAACACGUGGAUAACCUACCUAUAAGACUGGGAUAACUUCGGGAAACCGGAGNUAAUACCGGAUAAUAUAUUGAACCGCAUGGUUCAAUAGUGAAAGACGGUUUUGCUGUCACUUAUAGAUGGAUCCGCGCCGCAUUAGCUAGUUGGUAAGGUAACGGCUUACCAAGGCAACGAUGCGUAGCCGACCUGAGAGGGUGAUCGGCCACACUGGAACUGAGACACGGUCCAGACUCCUACGGGAGGCAGCAGCC
rnacentral:rRNA from 1 species